UUAGAGUUUGAUCAUGGCUCAGAUUGAACGCUGGCGGCAGGCCUAACACAUGCAAGUCGAGCGGAAGCGGGAAAGUAGCUUGCUACUUUUGCCGGCGAGCGGCGGACGGGUGAGUAAUGCCUGGGGAUCUGCCCAGUCGAGGGGGAUAACAGUUGGAAACGACUGCUAAUACCGCAUACGCCCUACGGGGGAAAGGAGGGGACCUUCGGGCCUUUCGCGAUUGGAUGAACCCAGGUGGGAUUAGCUAGUUGGUGGGGUAAUGGCUCACCAAGGCGACGAUCCCUAGCUGGUCUGAGAGGAUGAUCAGCCAUGCUGGAACUGAGACACGGUCCAGACUCCUACGGGAGGCAGCAGUGGGGAAUAUUGCACAAUGGGGGAAACCCUGAUGCAGCCAUGCCGCGUGUGUGAAGAAGGCCUUCGGGUUGUAAAGCACUUUCAGCGAGGAGGAAAGGUUGGCGCCUAAUACGUGUCAACUGUGACGUUACUCGCAGAAGAAGCACCGGCUAACUCCGUGCCAGCAGCCGCGGUAAUACGGAGGGUGCAAGCGUUAAUCGGAAUUACUGGGCGUAAAGCGCACGCACGCGGUUGGAUAAGUUAGAUGUGAAAGCCCCGGGCUCAACCUGGGAAUUGCAUUUAAAACUGUCCAGCUAGAGUCUUGUAGAGGGGGGUAGAAUUCCAGGUGUAGCGGUGAAAUGCGUAGAG
rnacentral:rRNA from 1 species